AUUGAACGCUGGCGGCAUGCUUUACACAUGCAAGUCGAACGGUAACAGGCCGCAAGGUGCUGACGAGUGGCGGACGGGUGAGUAAUGCAUCGGAACGUGCCCAGUCGUGGGGGAUAACUACUCGAAAGAGUAGCUAAUACCGCAUACGAUCUAUGGUUGAAAGCGGGGGACCGUAAGGCCUCGCGCGAUUGGAGCGGCCGAUGUCAGAUUAGGUAGUUGGUGGGGUAAAGGCUCACCAAGCCAACGAUCUGUAGCUGGUCUGAGAGGACGACCAGCCACACUGGGACUGAGACACGGCCCAGACUCCUACGGGAGGCAGCAGUAGGGAAUUUUGGGCAAUGGGCGCAAGCCUGAUCCAGCAAUGCCGCGUGCAGGAAGAAGGCCUUCGGGUUGUAAACUGCUUUUGUACGGAACGAAACGGCUCUGGUUAAUACCCGAGGCUAAUGACGGUACCGUAAGAAUAAGCACCGGCUAACUACGUG
rnacentral:rRNA from 1 species